rnacentral:rRNA from 1 species
CCUACGGGAGGCAGCAGUGAGGAAUAUUGGUCAAUGGACGAGAGUCUGAACCAGCCAAGUAGCGUGAAGGAUGACUGCCCUAUGGGUUGUAAACUUCUUUUAUAUGGGAAUAAAACGUUCCACGUGUGGGAUUUUGUAUGUACCAUAUGAAUAAGGAUCGGCUAACUCCGUGCCAGCAGCCGCGGUAAUACGGAGGAUCCGAGCGUUCUCCGGAUUUAUUGGGUUUAAAGGGAGCGUAGGUGGAUUGUUAAGUCAGUUGUGAAAGUUUGCGGCUCAACCGUAAAAUUGCAGUUGAAACUGGCAGUCUUGAGUACAGUAGAGGUGGGCGGAAUUCGUGGUGUAGCGGUGAAAUGCUUAGAUAUCACGAAGAACUCCGAUUGCGAAGGCAGUUCACUGGACUGCAACUGACACUGAGGCUCGAAAGUGUGGGUAUCAAACAGGAUUAGAUACCCGAGUAGUC